rfam:Bacteriovorax sp. BAL6_X ctg7180000028171, whole genome shotgun sequence.
GGGGGUGCCCUGGUUUCGACGGGAUGGUUGACAGGUAUCCGGGCGUGUCCAGGUUGGUCUCCACGGUCCUGGUAAAAAGGAGUCCACCGUUAAUUGCAGACGAUUAUGCAAUGCCAAUGGCUGCCUAAUUAAUUAGGAUUAGUCUUGUGAGGCGCUACUGCCAAGAAACAGAAUGUAGCAAUCCAGUUGAAUCUGCUGGUUAACUAGGUUUCGAGCCUGCCGGGGCAUCUCGUUAAUCACUCACCGGGGUUCGCCGAGGUCACGUAUCACGGACAGUCUUGUCUUCUGACGAUAACCGAAGACUACGCACGUAGGCCGCUAUCAAGACGUCAUUUCGGACGUGGGUUCGAUUCCCACCACCUCCACCA